rnacentral:rRNA from 1 species
CCUACGGGGGGCAGCAGUGGGGAAUAUUGCACAAUGGGGGAAACCCUGAUGCAGCGACGCCGCGUGAGUGAAGAAGUAAUUCGUUACGUAAAGCUCUAUCAGCAGGGAAGAAACACUGACCUUACGGUCAGCAGACGGUACCUGAGUAAGAAGCCCCGGCUAACUACGUGCCAGCAGCCGCGGUAAUAUGGAGGGGGCAAGCGUUUUCCGGAUUUACUGGGUGUAAAGGGAGUGUAGACGGUGCGCCAAGACUGGAGUGAAAUGCCGCAGCUUAACUGCGGAACUGCUUUGGAAACUGGCGAACUAGAGUGCGGGAGGGGUAAGCGGAAUUCCUGGUGUAGCGGUGAAAUGCGUAGAUAUUAGGAGGAACACCGGUGGCGAAGGCGGCUUACUGGACCGUAACUGACGUUGAGGCUCGAAAGCGUGGGGAGCAAACAGGAUUAGAUACCCGAGUAGUC